rnacentral:rRNA from 1 species
GUUGAACGCUGGCGGCGGGCCUAACACAUGCAAGUCGAGCGGACAAAGGGGGCUUUCGCCUGGAUGCAGCGGCGGACGGGUGGGUAAGGCAUAGGAGGCUGACUGAUAGUGGGGGAUAAGGUCCGGAAGGGGGAGCUAAUACCGCAUAGGACAUGAGAGUGAAACGGAGGGAUCAUUAGAGCUAGCGCGAUCUGAUGAGCCUAGGUCGGAUUAGCUAGUUGGUUGGGUAAGGGCGUACCAAGGCGACGAUCCGUAACUGGGCUGAGAGGAUGAUCAGCCACACUGGAACUGAGACACGGUCCAGACUCCUACGGGAGGCAGCAGUAGGGAAUAUUGGACAAUGGGCGAAAGCCUGAUGCAGCAAUGCCGCGUGUGUGAAGAAGGUCUUCGGAUCGUAAAGCUCUGUUAGUUGGGAGGAAGGGAAGUAAGUUAAUCCCUUCCCGUUUUGACGUUACCAACACAAUAAGCCACGGCUAACUUCGUG